AUGAAUUCAUAUGCCUGAAUCCAGUUUGUAGCGUUUCAGCAAAAAAAUGGGCGACAAAAGGAAAAAGCAGCGAUAUGUUCACGACGACACACCCUCUCCCUCUUCUUCAUCCUCUUCCUCCACCGCCUCCGACUCCGAUUCGGACUCCGACCGCUCUUCCAGGCGCCGCCGUCGCCGCCGUGAGAAGGAGCGCCGCAGAAGGAGCGAUGGAGGCUCCAAGCGCGAAAGAGAGAGCAGUAGGAGAAGGGAAAAGAGGAAGAAGAGAGACAGAGAUAGGAAGAAGACCAAGAGGCACCGUCAUUCUGAUGACGAAUCCCACUCUUCCGAGGACGAAGACAAGCUCAGGGUUCAGCCUCUUUCCGUCGUGCGUGAAUUGAUGACCGAAUUCCCCAACGUUGGCAACGAUUUGAAGCAGCUCUUGCAAAUGAUUGACGACGGUCAAGCUGUUGACAUCAAGGGUAUAUCAGAAAGAUCUCUUAUGAAGCAUCUGAAGAAGCUUUUCCUUUCAUUAAAUCUUAAGGAAAAUGGGGAUAGAGUUUUCUUACGGCCUUCUAAAGCUCGCCCUACAUUGGAUGUUGUUGGCCCUCUAAUUCAGUCUCUUAUGUCUCCCAUGAAUGAGCAAGCUGAUCCUUCUACAGAAGUGCCUGAUACAAGUUCAGUUCCCAUCGAUGUGGGGAGUGAACAGAUGGUAGAUGAUCAUAUAACAGCAACUCCAGAGGAUAAUUCUGUUGGUCCUAGAAGAAGGAUGAUGGGCCCUGCUAUGCCAUCAGCUGAAUUACUCGCAGCUGCUGCCAAAUUAACGGAGGCACAGGCUGAGCUUAGAGAAGCUGCGGGGGACGACGAUGAACUAUUUUUCGGGCCUCCACCACCUGCUAUGAUUAAUGAAGCAGAAUCCGCGAAUGAAGCAGAACGUUUUGAAGAGGUCACUAGGAUCAUGGAAGUUGAUGCUGACAGCCCAUAUGAUGUUUUAGGAGUUAACCAUAAUAUGUCAAGUGCUAACGUAAAGAAAAGGUACUGGAAGAUAUCUCUAUUGGUUCAUCCAGAUAAAUGCUCUCAUCCACAAGCCAACCAAGCAUUUAUUAAGUUAAAUAAAGCUUUCAAAGAUUUACAAGAUCCAGAAAAGCGGAAAGCUAUGGAUGACAAAAUCAAGCUCAAACAAGAACAGGAGGAACUUAAGGCUGAACUUAAAGUCAUGCGUGAGAAUGCACUGUGGAGAAGAUCCCAAGGUAUAUCCAUGGAGGGUGAUGAAGAGCUUCUGGCAGCGACAGAGGUUAAAGAAGAGCCCAAAAGAGAUGAAUGGAUGACAACACUGCCUCCGGAGAGGAAACCUGGUGGUAUGCCUACACAAUCAACUACGUUUAGCCAGGGCACAAAGGAAGGUAGAGGUGAUACUAGUGCUUGGACAGACACCCCUUCUGAUAGAGCCCAGAAAGCGAAAAUGAAUUAUUUGGAAGCAUACAAUGAAGCUUCUGCACUGGUCUCAAAUGAAGAGGAUAAGAAAAGGGCUAAUGCAGAUGCAGAUUUGGUGGACAAAUACAAUAAAGCAAAACGAUCAAAAACAUUGGUGCAAAAGCAUCAAGAAAUGGUUGCUGGCAAAUCAAAGAAAAAGACCAAGCAAAAGCCAGAGAAGGAAGAUUGGGCUGGUCAACAUCCAUGGAAGCCAUGGGACCGUGAAAAGGAUCUGACAGCUGGGAGGCAAAGUGUAAAAUUAGAUCCAGAAAGCAUGACUCAGGGCUUAUCUUCAAGGUUUUCUGCUGGAAACUUUCAGAGGAACUUCCUUUGAUUUAGAGUUCACAUUUCAAUUAUGAAGCCUUUUUGUGCCUGGAAAAAUCUGUUCAAUGAGCUUCUUAGAGAAAUUGAAAUAUUAUUUCUUUUCUAUGUAGCCAGUUGGUGCUGAAUAUAGUUUCAUGUCCUUCAAGUGCUAUGGAGAAUUCUAAUUAUGCAAUUACGUGGCUGGCAAUUAUUUUCUGAAGUUUAUCCACUCAAUGGCCUGAUUCUAAUUUUGAUCAAUUUUACUGAUGUAUAUUUAUCAAGCAUGUUUAUCUGUAAUAUUUAUGUUUGUUGCAUGUGUGGUUAUCUA